rnacentral:lncRNA from 1 species
UCACACUUGAAUAGUAAUCUCCUCCUCUCAAGAAAAUGCCCCAUCUUCCUCCUACCCCAGCAAUGGAGCUCCUCGGUGCUUCUGCAGCUGCAGCCGGUGCAUCCUGGCCAGCAUUUGGAGACCCGGGAGCGGACGAGUCCAACGGCGACGAGCCUUGCAGAUAGGAGACGGCGGGCGCGCGAGCUAGCGGCUCGCAUUGUGCUCUCACUGCGUCGUCCUCCUCUGCUCUGCUCUGCGAGCAUGCAUGAGGCGGCCGGUGCGAGCGUGCGGUGGGGAAUUGAGGCGUUAUGGUCCGAGAUAUAUGUAUAUCUCUCUUUCUCUCUCUCUCUUUUCUAGGCAUCUUUUAACUAGUUAUUUGUUCCUCCUCCGAGAAUAUCCUCCCUUCCUCUUGUUUCGUCUCUGUUUCUUCUUCCUUCUACUUUGGUUUGUAUCCAGAGGCUGUAAGCGACGCAUUCUUGGCGUGGAGGAGCUUGUUUGUGAUGUUAGGCACCUCAAUGUGCUUGGUGAAUGUCUUGUUGAGCCUGGAAUGCAUCGGUUACACUUUGUAAUGCAUGUAAUGUAAUCUGUCUGCUUUUAGUGGAGUAUGUUUUUGCUCUUGUUCCUGACUGUUUUUCUUGUAACCAGACACCAUCAUUUUUGUGCGCCAUUGUGUGCACUGCAACCAAGGUAUCCGAGACUGAAAAUCACUCUUUUUCUUUUGCGGGCAACUGAAAAUUACUCACGCUGGUAGUAGCCACCAUGUUGCAAUGCAUAUCGUCCGGGCAAUUGAUGUUUCUUGUGUCGCUCCUUAAUUUCCAAACACCAGGUGAACACAUCUUCCAAAUUUAACGCAUUGCCCUUACUAAUAGAAGAAACAAUCUUUCAAAUUAGUAAGUUCAGUACCUGCCAAAUUCCCCAUCCCCACAAGCGCAUGCACAUCCAGAAUGUAGGCUCUGGUCAGGUGUGCACACCGCACGCUUGUGUUUAAUGCUUCUGUGUGCAUAUCAAUCAAUUAGCAUUAGAGACAUUCUCCACUUCUAGGUCAGCACGGCAGGAAUAAAAUAGGGAGGAGGAUGCGGUGGUAGUGGUACCACCAGGGCAUGAGUGAGGGAAUGCCAAACAAACAAGAUGGGAUUGCAUCUAUGGGGAGGGACUACAAUAGAAUCUGGGCUUGUAGUAGAAAAAUAGAAAAAACAGAUCUGGACCACUAGAUGGGAGACUGAUGGCCCAGAUUUAGGUGGAGGGAUCUCAGACCACUUAAUGUACUUUUCACGGAAAACCCCCUGCCAAUGUUUAGAUAUGAGAUAGCAUAUUUGCAGUAUAGACCUUGAGUCUUCGUGAAAUAUGACCAUUUUCAUAAAUGCACAGUGCUGAUGCCCAUCUCAUCUUAGCUUGAUAUACAAAAAUCUUUGCAAAUAUUUACUUCAUGAAAUUCAUACACAUUUAAGUGUCUAUUUUAGCCUCUGAGACAUCAUUAAUUUUUCAAGAGGGUCGGACAUCUUGGUUUCUAAGAAAACAUCAAUAUAUAUCACAUUUUUUUAGCACAUAAGAGAACUAAGCCAUCCCAGAACAAGCAGAACUGCAUAUACAUAUCAAACUAGAAGUAGUGCAUGAGCAAAUUAAGGACUGGAAUUAUCACCACAUCAUUUGAGUAUUUGAGUACAUGAGAAUACAACACAAGAGGUGUACAUAGAACACUUUUAGUACAUGGCCAGCAGACCCAAGUGUAAAUGACUGAAACUAUCACCGUCCAACAAGCAUCUUGAUAGUACAUGACAAAAAAGGUCUAGGAGUAUCAUUUUUCGUCCUGUUUUAGUGCUUCCUGUUAAUCGAGCUUCAUCCGCUGGCAUUCAAGCUUCUAUACGAGAGUUUUUAACCUCCAAGAACUCUUAUACACUUGAUCAGUUCAAACUACCUAGCUAAGAACACCAAAUAAGUAGGUGUCAGUUAGAAACAUACAUGAAAUAGCAUAUCUUGAGAAGAGAGACAUUCAUUAUGUCCAACUUCAUUCACAGCUCCAACCAAGGAUACAAAACCUAGAUGUCAAACUUAAGAUGAAAUUCCGAAUACACAUGUAACCAAUCAGAAUAACCCUUGAGGUCGUUGAUGGCAUUCCAGCUUCUACAUGGGAGUUUUCAAAUCAAAUAAAAAUGGCAUGUAGUAGCGGGAUAAGUCUAAUAGAGAGAGUACAAAUAUUUGUUACAGCAUAUUUCGUUAUUCCACUACAGAUUAGGUUAUGUUGUUAUACCUAUUGACUUAUAAACCAAUAACAUCAAAAUUCGCAAGAGGUCAGUAUAACACGCAUAUGUUCUAACUCAAAAAUAAUUGUAAAAACUGACAAACAUUCAUGUUCAUAACAUUGAAUGGACCUUAGCUGCUUGCACAAAAACCAGCUCAUAGAAGUUUCAUAGUGGUGAAGGUUAGAGAUUAUGACCCAAGGUUACAAUUAUAAAUUUGACUUUACCCAUCUAAAAAGGACAAUUAUUGGGCAUGGAUACAAACAUACCGGGCAUGGAAAAAGGUAAAUCUGGAUCACCUUGAGAAAAUAGGAAUGCAGGCUACAGAUUCACACUGGGUUAAAGCUUGCACGGGCAUGCAUAGACCUACGAUCAAUAUAUAUAUUACAAUUUUCUAGUAGAAUCGGUUUACUUCCUUUCCAGCUUGUCAAGCUACUGACUCUGUAUAUGGAACUGCAGGUACCGAGUUUUUUAGUGAAUUGCCGUGAACUUAUACGUGAACUUCAAGACCCUAAGAUUAUCCAACCGUUCUCAACCUUCCAACUUGGUUCUGCAGAGUACUUAACAGUGAAACAAAAUUUCCAAAUUAGAGUACGACACCACCAAGAACAGGAGCAAAUGCAUCACGCACACACAAGCAGAUUUGACAUGAAAGUACAGGAAAAUAGAAGUAUACAGAUAAAUCGGAAAUUUACUUGAUAUAGUAAAACUGGAAUGCAACACAAAUAGGAAACAAAGUUAACAUCUAUUUACUAGGAAAAUGAACAACCGUGUCGAGGAUUUGUAGGUUCGCACCACGUCGCAUGGGGCGGUUGGGAAGGAGCCGAGGAGCUCACCACCGGCUUGCCGCUGACGAGGAGGAGGACACGAGCUGAUCCUGGUGCGUGAGAGAGAGACGAGGCGACGGACCGACCGCUACCGGAGAUUCAGAUGAGAGGUUGCGAGCCUGCGACGAGCACACUGCGGGCUGAGCUUAGUAGCGGAGAAGAUCUGAUUUGAUCUGCCUCAAACAGCGCCGCCGACGACGUGAUGGCCAGGAGCCAUCGGAGAUUUUCUGAAUUCGCCCAGCUUGAGGAUGGAUCUGGGCUGCCGCCGCGGCCAGCGUUGGGGCUGCCGCUCUGUACGCGAUUUGGGAUUGAACGACGAGGCCAUCGAGAUCAAAUUAGCUUGCAGGGAAGGACCUUUUUGCAAAUUAUGCGGACAGAUCGCUCCGCCUAAAUCUGGGCCAUCAGUCUCCCAUCCGGUGGUCCAGAUCCAUUUUUUCUAUUUUUCUACCACAAGCAUGUUUUCUAUUGUAGUUGCUCCCGCAUCUAUGACAUCUCUCUCUCUCUGCCGACUGAUUGGUCAUACUUGGUGCUGCAGUAGUGCUAGGGCCUUGUGGUGGCGUGUGGUCUUUGUUACUACUCCUAGUAGCGUGCCAACAGAAUGGGGGUGGCUGGCUGGCUGCAGUGCACAGGCACAGCCGCACAGCACAGUGUUGCUGAGACGAGAUGCAGCACCAUUCAAACUCUGGGCGCUGCUGUUAAUGCUUGGGGGCCGGGGCAGGGGAAUAUUCAGCGGCUGUGCAGGGGUCUAAUGCAUGCAGCCACUGUACCUGUGCCCCCUUUAUACCUUUGCUUUUAAUUGGCGUGGCAGCGAUCACUGUGCUCUACUACUGCCCCGGCUGCUCACUUGGGCCAUGGAAACAAGAGGAGCGUACGCAUGGCAUAGCAAUGCAUACUACUACUGCCACUGCUACCAUGUCCAUUGUGGCUGUGAAUGUGAUAUCUCCCCUCCCAUCUUUUGUAAACAUGUUUUGCCUAGCUCGUUUGGACUGGCGCCGUGCUGCUCGGAUCAUUUGAGCGUGUGAGAGAAUGUGGCCCUGACAGGGAGCCAUUUGUAAGGGAAAGAAAAGGUUAUGGCAAGAAAAGGCUUUGACGAUAUUAUGUGCACGACCUGUAGUGUUGUUCUUGACAAAACUGGAUUGUAGAUCUCUCUCUUAAAAGCAAAUUUCUGCCAGCCAGUAGAGCAGUAAUUAGGCAUGUGGUGUAAGCAAGUCCACGGCCCUUUUGUUGUUUGUGCAUUGUCCAUUUCUUGGUCGACCAGUGAGCUGCAGUACAUAGUAGGCUGUGAUGCCCACACGAGGCCAAAUUCACUGUUUCGACCAUUUUGUUAUCUUUUAGCCCGAUCUGACCCUAUCCUGGAAAAAGAAAUCGUAUCUGACCCUUUUCCUACGGCCACCCGAUCCGGCGGUUGGGUAGAACGUGCUACCGCCGCGGGCUCUGGCGGUACGAUCUGGGUCAACAUAGACGGUGCCAUCUGACCGCGCUGACGUGGAUAAGUGCCUACUGCCACAGACGGUGCCGGUAGGAUGUGGUGCCCUACAGCCGGAGUCUGUGGCGGUAGGGUGUGGAAUAGCUUUUCUCCCUGCACUGGCGGUAGGGUGUGCCACAGACAGUGCCGGUAGGAUGCACAUAUGUUGGUCCAUUUUUUUCAAUGUUAUGUAUACAUGAAUUGUAUGAGAAAUUGUUCCCUAUGGUGAACGCAAGAUAGUGAGGAUGAAUGCAUUGCAAAAUUGCUAGAUGGAUAAUGCAUUGCAAAACUGUGAGGAUGAAUGUGUUGCAAAAUUGGUAGGUGGUUAAUGCAUAGUUUGGAAAUUUGUGUAUUUCAUAUAGAUGCAAGUGUUGUGAUGGGGAAUGCAUAUUAAUUGAUUGUUAUUUUCCCUAUUUUUGCAGCAUAUAGUUGAUGAUGUAUUGUUAUAGUAUCUUUCUAUUCAUAUGUAUAAACGAUGGUGUCUACCAAUUGAAAAAAUUAUAUAUGUUAGGAUGGCCGAGUAUGAGGACAAUGGGCGUUUGUAUACGGGGCUUGACCUUGCUUUUGACAAGGAUCAUCGUGCCCGUGCUAUCAAGCAUGGAGAGGUAACAAUUUUGACAUACUUGCUUUUGACAUUUUCAUCUUAUUGUUUUUUUAAUAAAGGAAGCUUCUGACAUAUUUCUUCAAUUUUUACAGAAAUUUGCGGUAGUGCGAAUGAGGAGCCACAUGUCGGAAAACCAGAUGCAAUAUGACGUGCGCUAUGAGCCAUACUUUGAGCGUGUCGGGCUCCUACCUUUUGUUCUUCAGUUCAAGCAUGUGCCGCCGUCGAUGUGCCAUGCAGCUCUCACCGCCCUUGUUGAUCUUGGCGGCCGAAGACACACAACUUUCAUCUUCCUUGUGGUGAGAUGAUGGUGACAUUGGAGGACUUUGCCAUGAUCACUGCGCUUCCCAUUGAUGGCAAGGCUCUCAUCGGACGAGUGGACAACAAGAAUUGGCGUGGGAGGAUUACCGAUCUCAUCGAUGCCUGCUAGACCUCUCUUAGUCUCCAGGGAAGGACUGAUAAUAGGACAAACGGCGUCCCAUUCCCUUUGCUCCAGCAACAUAGGUCGGGAUGCCCUGCAGAUGCCAACGAGGAGACCAUGGAGCAGUAUGCUCGAGCGUAUGUGUGGCACCUCCUAUCACAUGUGGUCUUUGGAGACUGCUCUGGAGACGUUGCCCCUUGGAUGCUUCUUGACUUCUUGGCCGACUGGGAUGAGAAGUACAACUGGGGGUCUGCUGGGCUCACCUACUUAUACCGUCAGGUAAUAGUUAUGCAAUACUCAUUAAGCAUGUUAGUAUGUUUUCAUGAAUUGUGUGAAACUAAGCAUGAAUGAAUUGUUGGUUUGCAGCUCGACGUCACAUGUAGGAAAACCAACAAGAACCCAUGCAUGGGCGGAUGUAUUUGGGGCCUCUCGGUUUGGAUGUGGGAGCUUUUGCCGGUUGGAUGUCCUGAAAAGCAUCCUUUACCGAAUGCGUAGGUAGGCCUUGAUGAAGAAGAUGACGUUUCUCGACUCCCCACCGUGGCAUCCUCUUGGGACAGGGUUAAAUUUUUUGGAAGCAAGAACAAGUAUUUGUACAUGAGCUUUAUCAACGAGAUGGAAAGCCUCACAUAUCAUCAGGUAUACCGAUUCAUUAUUUUCUCUAAGCUUUCAUCAAAUGCAUUGGACGAACUAACUAGCUCUUUCGCAGGUUAACUUGAUGCCUUAUGAGGCACAACGGGUUUUUACAUUGAACCAGAUGUGUACUAGGGACGCCCAUCUUUGGCGGAUCAGGUGCCCUCUCAUAUGCAUUUAUGCUGUCGAGUGGCAUCUACCACAUCGAGUGGUGUUGCAAUUUGGUAUGAGGCAACGCACCCCACCGGAGCUAGCAAGCACGGGUGGACUUGCUACACAAGUGAGUUACCUAACUGAGGCCAUUUUAACCAACAAUACAAGGUUUCAAAUUGUUUCUUAUGCUUUGUUGUUGUCGUUCUUUGCAGUCAGAACUGAAAGAAUCAUUAGAAUGUGGUUGAGUGGGGACAACACCAUGCUAGGUAUGUCGAGAUGUGGAUGCAGAGGCUCGGUUCUAGAGACGGAUAUGACUUUGGCGGACAUGAGGGGUUACAAAAAACUCAUAUAAAGUGGUAUGCCAAUGGGAGGCGAUUUCGGGUGCGUUUGAGGCCAAGGUGGGCCAACGCAGAUCUCGUAGAUCAUGAUGCAAACAAUAGCUUAGAUGAUGAGUACGACGGCAAGGUGAGAAGUACACAAGGUUAUCACAGAGAGUAUGCGCCCUUGACUGAUAUAGUGGUAGGUCUUGUGAACUUAUUUGGAGACUGGAUUGAUAUUAUCUUGAUUGUGCACACUUUCGAGCUUAUGUUGAAUUUCCAGACCUUUGAGCUCAAUAGAAGUAUCAUCGAACGCUCGAAUGCACUCAUCCAUAACCCCGGGACUGCAGAGUCGGAUGCUACCUUGAGGUAAACGAUGAAAGUAAGCACUCGAAGUCCUUACCCUCUUUUUACUUCACAAAUCUUUACCUGUUGCAUUAAAAAUGUUUGUAUCUUUGUUGUUGUUGUUGUUGUUGUUGUUGUUGCUACAGCGUUUCAUGGAACCCUGCCGGAAGCUAGUCACCAUUCUUGGGUGCGCAAGCCUGGGUUCGAUUGAUGUGCAUGCUCUGAGCACAUCGAUGGUGCAGGCAAGUGGAGCCACUGCUUCUUCCAGCCAUGUAGGUGCUGCUACUAGCCACGUCGGUCGUAGUAACGACUCCGGUGAAUCUGAGGAGGAAGAGGUGGACUUGCAAGAUGACGAAGCCCCGGAAGAGAUGAAUAUGUCACAAAUGAUGGAUGCACCACCGGUUUCCCAAGGAAAAAGGGUUUCUCACCCUCAUGAGGAUCCAUUAAGCCCAUCAUCGUUCCAAAAGGCGGUUCCUAGUCACCGCAAGAAGACCAUGAAUGAGGGGUGCUCUAAGAGAGGAAGAAAUUGAUGUUGAACUAGUGUUUGGGCAUGUUGAACUACUGUUUGAUGAUGUUGAACUUGAUACCAUCAUUUAGCUUUUACUUUGCUUUGGACUUGAGGAUGUAUGUUUAAUGGUUUAUGUUGGACUUGUUUCUAGUAUUUGUGCUUCAAUAAUUACAUAUUAUUAAUUUCUAUCUUCUGCUGUGAAAAUUGAUGCAUAUAUGCUGCCGUUUGCUGUCAAAACUGUCAAAUUUGAUGCCUACAAGUGUGUUCUAUUGCUGGAGUGAGGGCAGGACCCCACCACCAUAGUCUCUUGUGGUAGGCCUGCAUACCCUACCGCCAGAGUCUAUAGCAGUAGGGUCCUGCCCUCACUCCAGCCACAGAAAAAGUAUAAGGUAGCCCCCCACCCACCCACUCCACUCAUUCAACAUCUUUCUUCUUCCCCGAGCUAGUCUUCUCUUUUUCAACUCCCUCCCCCACUGAAGUCCUCAAAAAUCCAUCUUCAUUCUUUGAGAUUUGUCUGAUGGAUCCGUACUAUUUUCAUCUUUGAAGGUAUCUCUGUCACCCCUCUCAUUUUUGUUGGUUGGAAUCAUCUCAUUUGGCUGCAUUGUUCACUUUGUUGCAAACCCUAGUUUUAGUCAUUUUGUGUUAAAUCAACUAUCAAGUUGGUUUGUAAGGUUAUAUAUGUGCUUACUAUAGUGCCACGUUAGUGGAUCUGACACUUCAUAGUAGAAACUAGGGUUCUGGUUAGGGAGUUCAUUAUGGUUAGCUUAAGGAUAAGUUAAUGAGGACGGUUAGAAGUAGACUUAAGUUGACGGUAAUAAUGAUGCCUUUGGUUUUUUGGUGUGAGAAGACCAAAUGCGAGGUGGGGCUGUGCUAGGCUUAGUGGUUAAGGUUAUGCUUAUGAUGACCCUUAUAGUGACCCCUCGAAUUGUAGGAUGGGACUGAUCCUCUUCUUUGAGAUUUCUGUUGAGGCGGCGGCGAAGCGUGAACGCAAAGUCAUUGAGGAAAAGAUGAACGAGUGGGUCGACUCCGUCGAUGCGUUGAAUGCGGCUUCAAGGGACUUCUCAAAGUACUAUGUAUGCAAGCACAAUGAUAGAGAGAACGUGAUUGAAGAUAAAGAGAAAGAGAUAAACAAGCUCAGGAGAAACGAGGAACAUCGUAGACGUGAUCUUUCAAGGCAAAUUGCAUUGGUUGCAACAAGGGAUGAAGUGCGCCAGCUUGACUUGAAAACCCCUGGCCAGAUCAUUGACUGGCUAGUUAGGCAACCAUCAUCGCCGCUUGGGUCCUUGAAAGAAAUGAUGUCAUUUGUUGCAACCUGGGGCCGUACACUAGAGACAUUGUGUUGAUGGCCGAAUAAAAGGGGUUGAACUACAUGAUGUCGUAGAGUCAUUUGAACUAUAAUGGCAUGUACCCUUUAUCAUUAGCUUUAGUUGAACCGCUUCUUAUGUUUAAUGUAACCUUUGUUAUUUUCACUCCUUAAGAACUUUGUGCUCAUAUGCUAUUUUAAGUAAGCUAUCUUGUGUGUUUGUUGUAGGUCACUUGAUUUAAGUUAUCUUUUUCUGUACAUUCAUGUAGGAUGGAAAACAAGUCAAGUUUGCAGAUAUUAUAUGAGAAGUGUGAAGAAAACUGACGCGUUGGUAUGAUGAGGCAGCUUGAACAAUGGAUUAAGAGUGUUGAGGAGGCAAACGCGGUUAGGAGGUAUUUCAGCAAGUAUCAAGUUUGUGAGUACCCUGAAGAGCUAGUGUAAGAAACAGAGAAGAUUCUUGAUGAGGUGUAGAAGAAGGAAGAUGAUUGUAAACACUCUUUGGCAAUGGAGAUAGGGUUCUUCGUAAGCAUUGAUGAAUUCCUCGAGCUCGACUUGUCAAGACCCGGGCAGGUUAUUGGAUGGGCAAUCCAAUAGGGAGUGCCUAAGAACCCGAACCGACAUGCUCGAUGGGCGUGGUUCCAUGACAUGAAGGAUGUGUUGAUCCAUUGGGCUGGACCAAUGAUAUUCGACUCAGGCCGAAUCCGGAGAAAGAUGCACAAAUUGAGUGUAUCAAAAAGUUCAGGAGCUAUUUCCCUGUGUAGAGAAUUUAUGCUUAGGAUUCUACCGGGCAUGGUGUUGGUCAUUUGAACUAUAAUGGCCAUGAUGUGUGUCAUACUACCGCUAUCGAACAUGAUGCGUGUCCUUUGAACUAACGCUGUCGGACAUGAUUUUUGUCAUUUGAACUUAUUAUCGGAUGUUGCAUGUCAUUUGAACUACCAUUCGUUGCUAGUUCCUACUUAAUUUUUCAUUUUUCCUUGUGCAACAAAGUUAACAACCAAAAGAUACACAUUCUUUUUCAUUUCCCUGUCUAACAUGUUGCUUCUUUUUGUUUUGCAGGGAUUUAGCCCCUACCACCGGAGUCUGUGGUGGUAGAGUGUGCACUGCUACCGCCGGAGACAGUGGCGAUAGACCCUGGUUCUCACGCGCCCGACCAGAAACAUGUGUGAUGCUGCGUGCGAGUGGAUCGGGUCCUACCGCCAUAGACAGUGGCGGUAGGGUGGUGCAUCCUACCGCCGCCCGCUAUGGCGGUAGGGUGGUGCAUCCUACCGCCGCUCGCUAUGGCGGUAGGGCUCGGUACUCUCCCGUGCAGUAUCAGACACGUGUCUGGUCGGAUGCGUGAGCACCAGGGCCUACCGCCACCGUCUCCGGCGGUAGGUGUGCACACCCUACCGCCGCAGACUCCGGCGGUAGGGUCUAAGUCCCUACAAAACAAAAAAAAAC